rnacentral:rRNA from 1 species
GAUGAACGCUGACAGAAUGCUUAACACAUGCAAGUCAACUUGAACUUCGGUUUGGGUGGCGGACGGGUGAGUAACGCGUAAAGAACUUGCCUCACAGAUAGGGACAACAUUUAGAAAUGAAUGCUAAUACCUGAUAUUAUGAUUUUAAGGCAUCUUAGAAUUAUGAAAGCUAUAUGCACUGUGAGAGAGCUUUGCGUCCCAUUAGCUAGUUGGAGAGGUAACGGCUCACCAAGGCGAUGAUGGGUAGCCGGCCUGAGAGGGUGAUCGGCCACAAGGGGACUGAGACACGGCCCUUACUCCUACGGGAGGCAGCAGUGGGGAAUAUUGGACAAUGGACCAAGAGUCUGAUCCAGCAAUUCUGUGUGCACGAUGAAGUUUUUCGGAAUGUAAAGUGCUUUCAGUUGGGAAGAAAAAAAUGACGGUACCAACAGAAGAAGUGACGGCUAAAUACGUGCCAGCAGCCGCGGUAAUACGUAUGUCACGAGCGUUAUCCGGAUUUAUUGGGCGUAAAGCGCGUCUAGGUGGUUAUGUAAGUCUGAUGUGAAAAUGCAGGGCUCAACUCUGUAUUGCGUUGGAAACUGUAUAACUAGAGUACUGGAGAGGUAAGCGGAACUACAAGUGUAGAGGUGAAAUUCGUAGAUAUUUGUAGGAAUGCCGAUGGGGAAGCCAGCUUACUGGACAGAUACUGACGCUAAAGCGCGAAAGCGUGGUAGCAAACAGG